ACACAGGCGGAAACCUGUUAGAUUAUUCUUGUUUUUAUUUUGCACCGCGCGCGGGUAAAACAUUUUUGUUCCGCUUCUCGGUUUUUCGUCGUUUUAUUUGAAUUUAAAAUUGGAUCAACAGCAGCUCGUUGGACGGAAUGCUGCAGAAGUAGCCAUUCUGCCUCCCGCGGAAAGUUACUGGUUCGAUAAUCAGUGGAAAAAUCCGAACCCCGAAGCACCAGUAGUGGUUCCGCCGGGUGAUGUGUGUGUUUUACCUGUUUGGUGAUUUCAUUGGUGAAGAUGUAAUCACUGAUCAUAAUGUAAUAGUAAAAGCUUCAAGAACACUUUUCGAAACCCGCGGUGUGAUGCGAACAAAAAUAAAAAAGAAGAUAAAAAAAAAUCUAAUCUCACUUUUUAAUAUUUGAAAAU